rnacentral:pre_miRNA from 1 species
GGGAAAGUCAUGACAUAUUUUUCUAUGCAAUAGUGUGUCAUGACUUUUCUGAUGA